UACGGAGGGUGCGAGCGUUGUCCGGAAUCACUGGGCGUAAAGGGCGCGUAGGCGGCCUGAUAAGUAGGGGGUGAAAUCCUGCGGCUUAACCGCAGGGCUGCCUUCUAAACUGUCGGGCUAGAGCACGGUAGAGGCAGAUGGAAUUCCCGGUGUAGCGGUGGAAUGCGUAGAUAUCUGGAGGAACACCGGUGGCGAAGGCGGCAUCCUGGACCGGCAUUGACGCUGAGGCGCGAAAGCCAGGGGAGCAAACGGG
rnacentral:rRNA from 1 species